GUCACAGCUACACUAGAGGGCACUUGAACCCCACUUUUACUGCAGACCAAGUCAUUGACUCAGGUAUUGGUGGUGCUUUUGGAAGGGGGGCGAGGAAUGGGGAAGUGGAGGAGGGCAACGGGAGGGGUAUAUUUAUUUUAACAUCUUCAAUAAACCCAUCGGUAUUUGAGGAAGCUUCCACGUCAGACUUUGGGGACCAAAACCUUAAUUAUACAAUAUAAUUGUUGUUAAUGGAACGUGUACAUUUCAACCCAGCAAGAUUGGUGGUGUUUAAUGCCAGCAUGACAUAUUUCCCAAAUUGUGGUCUUUAUUUGUAUAAAUAGGAAAGAAGCAAAAAUUGCAUCAGCUCUCUGCAUAAUGAAGAGGGAGGGAAGUGCAGCCUGUGCUGUGGUGGCCAGAUGCUCUUUUAUCUCUUUUCAAAUCAACAUGCAGAGCUGGUGGCCCUCAAACAGAAAGCAUCUUUCCCAAGGGAUGGCAGAACUGUACGUUUGGAAUGAUAACAUUCCAUAAAUAAAUAAAAAAGAUUAUUAAGAACGCUGUGUAAAUCUCCUAGUCAAACACCCCUUCAAGCAACCAUCAUCAGUAAUUCAGUUUGGUCCCUUAAUCCCACUGUAUACAAAUACACAGCAUAAAUACAGUAUUUAACAAGCACCAGAGAGAAAGCAGCACUCUUGCAAUAAAGACUCAUUUAGGAAGAAUGAACAUGCCUUGCCCCCAGUCCUGCUGGCCGCCCCCAGGAUUCAGUUCUUGAUUUGACUCUCCCACCUGGAUGAGAUGUCCAGCUCACAUGACUGAAUCCCUGGCAUAACCCCCUAUUUAAAUAAAACCUAAAAAUAUUAACUUUGGUCCCACAACCUUUUUGUUCCACAUCAGGGAAUUCACAGGGUAUCCAUUAGAAACCAUAUCACAUUUACAAGGCUCCACGGACUUCCUUAAGCCUUGAUGCUCCAACGGGUUAUACAGGCUAAGAGGUGGGGAUGAGUGCAGAUCCGAAGUGGGUGGGUGAGGAUCUCCCAGCCUCUCAGCCCUGGCACGGGGACUUGCUUUUCUCCAGGCUAUCUGGUUCUCUCUGUUUAUUCUCUGCCUGCUUUCCUUGUGUCUCUCGUUGUUUCUCUCUAAAUCUCCAUCUUUCCCUCUCUGUCCCUCUCCCCCUCCCUCCUUUCCUCUCUGUCUUUGUAACUCUCCCUCAAUUUUACUCAUUUUAGUGGUUCACUCUUUGGAUCUAGGACCUUGGUCAGCAUGAGCAUUGCACUCACAGAGAGGGUGACACGUUUCCUGAUGCCUGAAAGAGAGAAAUAAGAUGGCCCAGGAGACUCCAGGGCACUCUGCCCACUAAGCAUCUUUUUGGUCCUCCCCCUGCCAGAUUGAAAGAUGACAGACUGAGGACAAGCCCUAAGGGGACAGAGAGUCUAAGGCUCCAUGUUCCAACUCUGCAAGCCCCACCUCAGCUCAACUCAACACCUUAGACCUUCAGCUCACAGUUCUCUACAGGACACUUGUGAAAACUUGGAAAAUAUUAAUUGCUUAACAGUCCGCUUGCAAGUUGAACAGGCAGAUAAGGAGGAAAAGCCUUUCUUCUUUGACAAGCUUUCCAUGAAACAUAACCCCAGGUUUGUUUCUUCACUUAUUUUUCCCUUUAAUAAAUGUGAUGGGGUAGUUUGGAGUGAGUCUGAGCAUUGUGGUUAAAUAGGAAAAAAUGCUGCUUCGGACCUCAAUUACAUUGCACAAAAGCUAUCCCAGAGGUCUGUCUCCCGCUCCCCUGUGCCUGAUGCUUCAGCAGCUGCUCAAGGAGAGACAAUUCCCUGAGGUGCCUCUGGCCCUGGUGCUGUCGAGCCAGUGCAGGGGAGGCCAGGAGACCCCACAGCUGGGUAAGGCUUCUCCCUUUGAGGCAGCCUCCAAGACUUAAAGGAAUUCUUGUUUACUACAAACUGGCUAUGAACUACAGCCCUUGAUGUUUUCUAUGCCUGGGCCUCUGUGUGUGAUUUCAGAAAGCCAUGUAAAAAAAAACAAGAGACCUUAGGUCAGAUAUGGUAAAUAGAGUAUACAUGUUUAUCCUUCUCCCGCCUAAAUCCUGAUUGAAAUGACAAUAAAAGAAUUAAAAAGAUGUAAACCCACAAGUCAGCAAGAACAGGAGAGGUAACAGCUGUAGGUAAGAAGUCAGAUUUGUGGAGCGGGGAAGGGAUGGGGAAAUGGUAAUUACCUCAGCAGAGGAGAAGAGGCUAUAAUGGAAGAACACACAAGUUCACCCACAGAACCCUUGACAGACUGGACAUCUGCACACCAUAGCUUCCGUGGAAGCUGGCAGGAGGCCUGGGCUUGGAGCAGAGAUACUGACUAAAAGUCUGUAUUUGUACACAGUAUGUAUCUGCUUCUUCCCUCACUCCACCCCAGCUCACCAAACACUAGCUCUUUCCCUCUGGCCUCUCCCAACCCAUUCCCUGCUCCAUCCUUUCCAGGCAGGUAAACAUGUCUUCUUUAGAGAACUUCAACCAGAGAAUCUUCAUGUUCUGGUAACAACAGGGUGUGAGGCUGAAAACAAGGCACUAGGUGGAAGUCUGUCUUCCAAGUGCCCUUUCUGUCUCUGCUUCCAGAACACGAGUGCCCAGAUGUAUACAUUCCAGGCAUGAAAAUGAAGGAUAAUUCUCCAAAAAGACUGACUGGCCCUUGGGACAAGAUCCACAGAGACUUCAUCUGAAACGUUCUUCAUCAAUCAAGUAAGCCCACUCAUCUAUUGAUAAUGCUUACUGAGGGGCAAGCCACCCCAUGCACAUAAAGUCUCCUCUUAGCUUUUUAGUGUACCACUUCUUAAUCAUAAAUAAACAUUUAAGGAUCACCAGACAUUUGUAGAAGACCUCAACUAUGAAAAAAGAGAACUUAACAAAUAAACUUUUUUUGGAAGGCUGAGAAGACAUAGAGACAAUAGAGGGAGCAGAAAAAUAAAUAACAAAAACAAACAACCCUAUAGAUAUUAUUGUCAUCUGAAAGUUUUGAGAAAGUAUUGCAUUCAUGAAACAAGAAUAAGAUGCAAUUAAAAAGUAUAAUCGGAGUGAAAAAAUGAAUUAGCCAAGAUAAAAAAUAUUCAAUAGAACACUUGGAAGAUAAGGUUGAGUAACUCUCCUUGAAAAGCCAAAGAAAAAGAUGAGAAUGAAGAGAAAGAAAAUUAGGGGACCAAGCCAAUGUAUCCAACAUCUGAAAUUCCAAGAAGGGAAAGUGGAGAGAAUUAUGGGGUGGAAAUAAUCUAAUAAGUGGUUUAAUUUCCCAGAACUGAAAGACAUGAGUUUCCAGAGAAGGCCCAGCAUCAUGUAUUUAAAACAACAACCAAAAAAACUACCUAAGCAAAUAUUAUGAAAUUUCAGAAUAUCAGAAAUAGGACAGAUUGUAAGUUGACAGAGAAGAAAACCUGUCACAAAGGAUAAGGAAUAAAAAUGGCAUCAUGCCUCUUACUAGCAACACUGAGGCCAGACAACAACAUAACAAUUGAUAUUCUGAGAAAAAAAGCAUGUUCAGUCUACAUCUAUACCAAGACACACUCUUAAUCAAGUAUGAGGGUAAAACAAUGAACUUUCAGAUAAACACAGACUAAGGUAAUAUGCCUCUUAUGCACCCUUUCUCAAGACUAACUGGAGUCAGUGUUUCCCUAAAAUGUUUAAUCAGCUAACAAGGUGCUAUGAUGUGGAUAUUUGACCCUCCAAAUAUCAUGUUGAAAAUUGAUCCCCAUUGGUAGAGGUAGGGCCUGGUGGGAGGUAUGGGUUGUGGAGGUGGAUCCCUCAUGAAUGGCUUGGUGCCAUUCUCGCAGGAAUGAGUGAGUUCUCACUCUUAGUUCUCAUGAAAAUUCGUUGUUGAAAAGAACCUGGCACCUACUCCCCAUUGCUCUUUCUUCCCUUCGCCAUGUGAUGCCUGCUGCCCUUCAUCUUCCACCAUGACUGGAAGCUUCCUGAGGUCCCCACCAGAAGCAG
rnacentral:lncRNA from 1 species